GGUCGCUUAGCUCAGUUGGUUAGAGCGUGGUGCUAAUAAAUCGAGAUCGGGAGCUUUGCUCCCGCGAACGACAUAGUAGACGCCAAGGUCGCGAGUUCGACCCUCGUAGUGACCA
rfam:Cochliobolus sativus ND90Pr unplaced genomic scaffold COCSAscaffold_3, whole genome shotgun sequence.